CUUAAAAAGCUGGCGAAUGAAUGAUUGCAGCACUCUACUAAAUAUUUUGAUCCUUUAAGGGAGUCUGUUAAGAUUUUAAGGCAGGAGAAAUACAUCAUCCCACGGCUUGCAAAUUGCUAUGCUAAUUCCUGGUUCUAUCAGAUAUCUAAGGGAUCACAUGGAGACUCAAAUGUUGCACACCCACCAUCCGAGCGGUCAUAUGUAGUGUACUUUUGAUUUAUUAAUGCAUGAUGUAACCUUUAG